rnacentral:tRNA from 1 species
UAAUUAUGCUCUGGUGUAAAGUGCACAUGAAGCUUUGAUCUUCAGGGAAAUGGUGUUUAUUCCAUUGGGUGUAA